rnacentral:lncRNA from 1 species
UUUUUUAAUCUAAGUGUGAUUGUCCACUUGUUAAAUUUGUUCUAUUUAACGAAGUCCUAAAUUGAUUUUAGAUUCGUCUAAAGAACAAUAACCUGGUCUGUGAAAUUUUAGAGUUGGGUUCAAGAACAUAAUUACACAUGGGGAAGGAUUAGCACCCUCGUAACAUCCGUUCCACGAAAGGUAUCAUUUAAUCCCACGUUAUCUUAUUUAAACCUCAAUUUUUUUAAUUUUAUUUUUAUGUUUUCUUAUAUUUUUUAUUCUUAUUAUACAUUUAUUGUUUUUUUUCUAAUCUUUCUUUCUAAUUUAUUAUUUUAUUUUAUUUAUUUUAUUUUUAAAAACUUAAAUUUGAU